GGUAGCUGGUCUUCUGUAAUCUUCAAACCAGCGCUCAGUGCAGUGAGAACGGGGGUUACUCGCGGAGUCUCUCUGGGACAUCUCUGUAGCCUGGCCUCAGGCUUAGAGCCCGAGCUGGGAGCCUGGCGGUGAAAGUUCUCAGAUCUCUGUGCAAGAGCUUCAGAAAAUGAUCAACUUCCAGGGAUCAGUGACAUUCCAGGAUGUGGCUGUGGACUUCACCCCAGAGGAGUGGCAGCUGCUUGACUGUGAUCAGAGAACCUUGUAUUGGGAUGUGAUGCUGGAGAACUUUAGAAACCUCGUCUCAGUGGGCCCUGAGACUCAAGGAGGCAGCCCUGAAUUGUGAGGUAG